rfam:Nadsonia fulvescens var. elongata DSM 6958 unplaced genomic scaffold NADFTscaffold_1, whole genome shotgun sequence.
GGUUUAGUAGUGUAGUGGUUAUCACGUCUCAUUUACAUUUGUGUUACUUAUGGUAUCAUAAUGUGAUCUGAGGAGGUCUCGAGUUCAAUCCUCGGCUGAAUCA